UUUUAUUUUUCCAAAAGGAAAAUGGUAAAUUGGAUGGGUCGUGGGCAAUAAUUGGCAUACGACUGCACGUUUUGUGAGUGACCAAACAUUUCAGUCACUUUAGAAAUGACAAGUCGUUCGCCAUAUGUAAAGUCAUGCGAUCUCCGCGAUGGCAUACUCAUACGGAAAUUAGAGUAGAAAGUUAGGUAUAACCGUAUAAGAAUAAGGGACGGCGGAGGAAGUAAAGUAAUCCCAUACACUGGGUUGCCUAUUCAUUUCGUGGAGGUUCUCACCAUUCCUUUUUUUCAACUGUUUCUAGUUUUAUACUCUCUUCUUCUUCUUCUUCUUCUUCAGUAGUGUCUAUACAUAUAUACUCUAUUCAAUCACUUCCUCAGUGAACCAGAGCUCUUUUAAAAUUCAAUCAAUUUGUCCCUGUUUACCCGCUAAACUACACCAUUUUCGCGUUUUUAUCUCAAUGGAUUCUCAAGUUGUGGUAGCUCUCGCUCUUUCUCUUGUGGGCGGAUUGGGCACUUCUAUAGUCAUGAGCACGCCAUAUGAAGUGCAUGGGAGGAAUCAGAAAAUCUUUGACAUUAAAGGACAGCUCUUUUAUUCAGAUGAGAAACUUGCAUUCUAUGGAAUAUGUUAUCAAAACUAUCUGAACUUGUUUUUUGGGUACUGAUUUUCUGCUUGCUUCAUACCUCUCUAAUUUGAUAAGCCUGGUUCAAGAUUAGGUCUUGCUCUGUAAUCUAAUUGUAACUUUUGGGCUAGGAAACGGGUGCAAUUUUUGUAAUUUUUAAUCAGGCUUCCAAUUUAAAGAUGCAUGGGCGUUUACACGUGACUCUGAGAGGUAGAACCCUCUAUAUCCAUCCAAGGCGGAAACUGGUUUCUCUUUCCUUUCGUUUCUUUGUUUCUUCAUCUUGUCAUGAAUCACUGUUACUGAGAAGGACAUAAUGCUACUUGUGAAUGCAGCACCAAUCUUGAAUGGAUAGUUACUGAUGAAGUUCUUUUUUUUUUUUCUCAUAUUUUCUUGCUUACCAUGUCUUGCCGAUUCCUGCUUAUGUUGAAUUUCCUUAUCCAAAAGUGCUGGGAACUGAUUAAAGAAUAGAGUUACCAGGGACGAUAUAAACUUGAUAUUAGUUUUUCUCUCUGUCCCUCUAUCUCUCUCUCUUUGCAGUAACAUUGUCUAGACCUCAUUGUGCAGGGUUUUGUCACAGUUCUAAUGUUGAGCAUAUGAGCCAAAGCACAUUUCCAGAAAAUCACUCAUCCUAGUAUUUCUCUCAUGUGAGCACGCUUAACCCACUUAAUCCCAGAGUUCUUCCAACUCUCCACGCCGUUCCACUAAAAUGCACCUACCUCUAGUGAUUAGUUUUCCAUAUAUUAUUCGAUUCCACUACCCUAGGUAGUCUCGCCAUCCUAAAAGCUUGUCGGGAGUUUACUGUCUUAUGCCACUCCCCGCCUUCAUCGGUCCUGGGUCGAGUCAUCAUAGUUAUGAACUCAAUUGGCUUCUUAAAAGGAAACCUUUGGGUUAGCAAUAUCUUUCAAGUUUUUGUAUUCAACACAUUUCCAGUAAGAUGUUAUUUUUUAAGUCUUUUUUAUUCUUUAUUUUUAAUUUCUUCUUGGAGCAGUUUUUUUGGAGAUGUUGUAUUCUUUACUAUUGUAGCAAGGUUUUGUCCCUGAACACUUAUCCUGGGUUCGGAUAUUAAAAACAAAAGGUUUUCUGAUUAUCUGCUCUCAUAAUCCUUAUGUGUUCCAUUACUCAAGCUAAUGUUGGCUGCUUUUUUAUGUGUCGGGAUAUUAAAGCUGUUUUGAUGAUUUGAUGUUGUGUGUUGGAGCAGACAAGUGGGACAGAGAGAGGACAUCAUGAAAAAGCAUCGUGUCCAAGUUAUGUUCAGUGGGAUUAUUACAGCUAUAGGGGUAAGUUUGCACAAUUUCCAGAGGGAAUGGCAGUGUUCCUUGUUUUGAUUGAGGUAGCCUCUGCCUUGUUUGUACUGCUGUCAAAAUACUGGAUGAAUUUUAUGUUAGCCAAUAUUGAAUUGUUUAUUCCCAAGGUUGAUGCAUUGAAAAUAGAAAAUUGAGCCAUUUUAUGUUGGGUUUAAUAUGGAGACCUACCUGUUUAUUAUGAGGUUGAAUUAUAUACUUUAUGAAAUCAAGGAGUUGCUGUGUUCCAAUUUCUACACUGCACAUUUUUCAUUUCACAUGCAGAAAGUACCAGAUCUGUUACUUUUCUGGUUUUUCAACCUAGCUCUUCCAAGAAUUUGCCUCUUUCUGCACUGUCACCGUCAAACAAUUCACCAAAUACUUCAUGUAUAAUUACAAGGGUCUUUCAAUCACGUCUCAUGGUUUAUUCGAAAUUUAUGUUAAUGUUUAUAAACUUCUAAUUAAUGCUAAUGGUUUAUUGGCCAUUGCUUUGCACAAUAUUCCAGAGGUACGCUUUCUCAGAUCCUUAAUGUGGCCUUUUUUGUGCAUUGGAAUGUUUAGUAUGCCCUUUUAAUUUAUGUUGUUAGUUCUUGCAAGUUCUUGCUCUCUGCAAUGUUCAGAAAAUUAAGACAGGAAUUUUUUUAUUUAAUAUAAGCUCACUGAAUAUUGCAUUUCACUGUUUGCACAGAAAAGUAAUUCUUCUGAUAGAUAAAUAACUACAUAGUGAAAAUUUUCCCUGUUGUCCUAACUUUUUUGUGUUCAUAUGUACAGGGUGUUGCUGUUGCACUGCCUGUUUAUUUUGCUACACAAAGGUGAGAAUUCCUGGGCAAAUUGUUAGUGUUAAUCCUUCUAAAUUACUGAUGAAUCUUCUAUACCAUAAAAAGCAUAGACCAAAAACAUGUUUCAUGUGAAAGUAGCUUUAAUGGUACUUUAUUGGAAAUAAGAAGUGAAGAGGUGGAGGUCAAUAUAGUUUCCAUGUUGACAUUCUGCUGUAGAGAUGGCAAUAUAGGGUGUUGCUGUGGUGGAAUGCUGAAGAUGAUUUUGUUGCACAAGUGUUGUGCUGGUAAGGAUGGAGACAAAGAUAGUGAAAACAACCACCCUUUUCUUUGUAGAAAUGAUGCAUGUGACAUUAUUUAAAAUUUAUAGGAUUUAUGACGAAGUACUGCUAACUGUUGGCCAUGUUAGCAAUAGAAUUUGAGUAGAAAUCCUCCUUUUGGCUCCCAAAGUAUUUAAAUCCUAAAGAAAGGCAGUCUUUCAAAUAAAGCCAACAUUACUGGUCCAGGCUGAAUCAACUCCAUUCACUCUUUUUCCUGCAGUUGUUGCACAAAACAUUGUGUUGUUAAUGUGGUGUAAUUUGGUAUGUAUUUUCAGCAGUUUUUGGCUUCAGCACUAUUAUCACAUGCCUAAGGGUUCAACGACUGAGGUGUUGAGAUCUGUUAAUGGCCUAUGUUAUGUGGCUAAAGUUUUCCUUCCAUUAAUAUUAACAGCAAUUUUGUGCAUGCAUCUCAACAGAUUAGGAUUUAUUAUAUUGAGAAGAUAUCCAACUGGCUGAUUUAUAUACCGAUCUCAGCAAGUGGCAGGCAUUCAAAUUGCCAAUGCUUUCUGGUUUUGCAGAACCACUUGGUGUUGUCCUUGCAGCAUGUCUAUUUCCAAGCAAUUUAAGUCCCGAA